rnacentral:ribozyme from 1 species
AAGUGGCCGCAAGAAACAGAAGCAAAUCAGGAAAGAGACCAUGAAGGACUCAACAUCGGCCUUAUCCGCUUUUUCUGUUUGUCUUUAUUCCUUCCUUCGUUCCUUCCUUCCUUCCUUCCCUUCUUUCUUUCUUGAU